CACGUGAGUAACCUGCCCUUAACUCUGGGAUAAGCCUGGGAAACUGGGUCUAAUACCGGAUAGGAGCGCCUACCGCAUGGUGGGUGUUGGAAAGAUUUAUCGGUUUUGGAUGGACUCGCGGCCUAUCAGCUUGUUGGUGAGGUAAUGGCUCACCAAGGCGACGACGGGUAGCCGGCCUGAGAGGGUGACCGGCCACACUGGGACUGAGACACGGCCCAGACUCCUACGGGAGGCAGCAGUGGGGAAUAUUGCACAAUGGGCGCAAGCCUGAUGCAGCGACGCCGCGUGAGGGAUGACGGCCUUCGGGUUGUAAACCUCUUUCAGUAGGGAAGAAGCGAAAGUGACGGUACCUGCAGAAGAAGCACCGGCUAACUACGUGCCAGCAGCCGCGGUAAUACGUAGGGUGCGAGCGUUAUCCGGAAUUAUUGGGCGUAAAGAGCUCGUAGGCGGUUUGUCGCGUCUGUCGUGAAAGUCCGGGGCUUAACCCCGGAUCUGCGGUGGGUACGGGCAGACUAGAGUGCAGUAGGGGAGACUGGAAUUCCUGGUGUAGCGGUGGAAUGCGCAGAUAUCAGGAGGAACACCGAUGGCGAAGGCAGGUCUCUGGGCUGUAACUGACGCUGAGGAGCGAAAGCAUGGGGAGCGAACAGGAUUAGAUACCCUGGUAGUCCAUGCCGUAAACGUUGGGCACUAGGUGUGGGGACCAUUCCACGGUUUCCGCGCCGCAGCUAACGCAUUAAGUGCCCCGCCUGGGGAGUACGGCCGCAAGGCUAAAACUCAAAGGAAUUGACGGGGGCCCGCACAAGCGGCGGAGCAUGCGGAUUAAUUCGAUGCAACGCGAAGAACCUUACCAAGGCUUGACAUGUUCUCGAUCGCCGUAGAGAUACGGUUUCCCCUUUGGGGCGGGUUCACAGGUGGUGCAUGGUUGUCGUCAGCUCGUGUCGUGAGAUGUUGGGUUAAGUCCCGCAACGAGCGCAACCCUCGUUCCAUGUUGCCAGCACGUAAUGGUGGGGACUCAUGGGAGACUGCCGGGGUCAACUCGGAGGAAGGUGAGGACGACGUCAAAUCAUCAUGCCCCUUAUGUCUUGGGCUUCACGCAUGCUACAAUGGCCGGUACAAUGGGUUGCGAUACUGUGAGGUGGAGCUAAUCCCAAAAAGCCGGUCUCAGUUCGGAUUGGGGUCUGCAACUCGACCCCAUGAAGUCGGAGUCGCUAGUAAUCGCAGAUCAGCAACGCUGCGGUGAAUACGUUCCCGGGCCUUGUA
rnacentral:rRNA from 1 species